CAAGAUGAGAUUUCUUUAAAGGACCGUGGGAGAUGACCACGUUGAUAGGCCAUAGGUGGAAGGGCGGUAACGUCCGUAGCCGAGUGGUACUAAUUGUCCGUCAGGCUUGC
rnacentral:rRNA from 14 species